CCCCUUCGGGGGCUGAUCAGUGGCGAACGGGUGAGUAACACGUGGGCAACCUGCCCCUAGCUCUGGGAUAACUCCGGGAAACCGGGGCUAAUACCGGAUACGACCUUGGUGGACAUCCACCAGGGUGGAAAGUUUUUCGGCUAGGGAUGGGCCCGCGGCCUAUCAGCUUGUUGGUGAGGUAACGGCCCACCAAGGCGACGACGGGUAGCCGGCCUGAGAGGGCGACCGGCCACACUGGGACUGAGACACGGCCCAG
rnacentral:rRNA from 1 species